rnacentral:misc_RNA from 1 species
UUGGUACCGUAUCGGUACGCCGUGGACUGAAAUUCAUUAUGAGCAGUACGGUGUAUUGUUACGGUACUGGUACGGUAGUACACUCACCAUAUCAGUAACGUACGACGAUUGUACACAGUAAUUCAACGAACUGGUACAAUACUGAUAAUAUGGAAGUACGGUGAGCGUACGAUACUAGUACGGCGUACUGCCACGGUACCAAUACAGUACUCUUACCAACCAAGAAUCAACAUAAUCAACGAUUUAUAUAUCAAUUUUAUUUUUAACUUAACAAACUUCGGCGACAGUGCCGUGAAACUCUACUGCGUCGGACACGUAAUCCGUACGGACAAGUCACCGGAAUGCAGACGAGCUGCAGUGUUGGUAACGAAUUUAUUGAUUCAAGGACUGGGCAAAGAUGUCCUAACAGAUUUGGGGCAUGAUCUGGUGCCUUUGUAUCGAGCUCUCAAGUUGCUUCGCGACAACGACGACGAUCACGUGCUACGUUUACACGCUCAGCUUGCUCUCGAGGAGUUGGAUGACAUCGUCCGAUUACUAAUAUUCUCAGUCCCGAAGAAGUUCGAUAAACGAAUAUACCUUCCUCCUUAAUACCAUAUAUAAAUAAGUAGACGUUGUCGUUAUUCAUUUUAUUGUUUCUUUUUUUUACCACAAAUCGAUGAGCAAUCGUCGAUUCCUUUUUAAUGUUCUAAUAUGUCGAUGAUAAACUAUUUUUCUGUACACAAUUAAUAUAAAUUCGUUAGUAAUAUAAAUUUUUGAAAAUCGA